AGAUCGAGGCGAAUGACGAGAUGGAAAAUGGAUAAUGGAAUGGAUUCGCAAUCUGUCCAUGGAUACGCGAUUGCAGUUCUGCGUGAGAUGGAAUCGUCGCAAUCUCGAGUCAAAAGCAGCAUCCGUGUCCGAAGAUACCGUUUAUCGUCAAGUGAGAAGUAACACGCCACGAAGGAAAUAUGUCGCGCGCGACGUGAGAUACCGGGACACAACGGAGGAAUACGGACGACGCUGAUCGAAGGGGAAACUUGUGGCUAAAAUUCGCAUCUCUUUCUUUACAUGUCAUCAAGAGCUUUAAGGAUGCUGCGGAAAUAAAUGGCGGUUUCGUCUGGCAGUUUUAUCUUCUGAACACUCGGCGCUUCGUCGUAUCGCUACAACGAGUUUCCCGAUGCUGCGCCUCUUCGUUCGUGCACACAAGGUGGUGGUGAAUGAAGGAAAAGAGGGGGCAAGAGGGAAAAGCUGAUAGGCCACACCGAGACACGUUAAUGAGUUUUUCGAGGGACGUGCCGGGCGCAGAGACGAUCGACAAGAGGCGGGAAUUAGAGGUGCGAGAAAGCUACGAGCUGGGGGGUCGUCUGGUAACAAAGGAGGAAAAGCGGGAAAAGGCGGGAUAACGAGAGAGAGAGAGAGAGAGAGAGAGAAGGAGAGAGAAAAAAGAUAAUCGCGAAAUCGAGGGAUGCACGCGAGGGGGCUGCUCAAGAUCGAUUCCUCAGUUUUAAAUUUAAAUAAACGCCAGCUCGCGUAGCCGAUAAGGGCCCUACCUCGCAAUAGACGCGCGCGAGAACCCCUCUCGUUUUAGUGGCAAUUUUUCUUUCCGCGCGCAGCCAGACUGUUUGCCGCGACAGACUCCGAGAACACUCCGACAAGAUCAAUAUCAUGAGAAAAUCCGAUCGUCAUUACACUAAUACUCACAUCUGCCGGAGAUUUUCGUAGUACUUUACGACGCAGCGAUAAACGCAAUUCCAGCGCAAUUGAGAAACAUUAAGGGCAGGAUAUGUUUAAUAGUGCCAUUUUGCAUUCGCAGAGAUGGCUACGAACCGCAUUAAAAACAUUAACAGUUAAAAACAUAAAGCGUUUAAAAAAUAUCGAUAUACGAUCGAUAAUAUUUUGAUGAUAUUCAUCUCGAUAAUGAUUGAUAUGUCGAAUUUUAUCUUAUUACCGGAGAGAUGAAAAGUUAGUUUGUUUCUUUCUUUUUUUAACAAAAUGGGAUUCAUUACGUUGAAGGGAUUAAUAUCGUGAACAAUACUCCAAGAGAGGCACUUUCGUGCAAUGUAAUAGCCGGUCGAUGCGAGACUAGAAAUUUAAUGAUAAGAGAGCGACGAUAUAUAUCUGUUGUAAAGUAACAAUUAAUUUUAAAUUUAUCGAUAAAUUUUCGCGAGGGUCAUGAAAUCGCAUUUUCACUGGUCGGGAAAGCAGAUGAUUUCCAGGCUUUACUCGGAUAAAUCGAAAUCGAUGGAUUCAAAUGCCGAUCUGUAAUAUCGGCGCCCACGUGGCGUGUGCUACAAGCAGAAUUCCAAUUUCCUCGGGCGUUGGACAAUUAAAUUACAAUCGGCAAACACGAUAAGCACGAUCGUUUCGAUCAGAAUGGAUGUUGUAGGCUAGCAUUUAAAUCAAAAUGUUGGACCCUUUUUUUUCGAAAGAGAAAAAAAGAACAAAUAAAAACACUAUUUCCUUCCCGCCGCUCUCUCCGUCCCGCAUCCACGCCAUGUUUAUCGAUGUAUAGAUCAAUAUUUUCCGUAUCAUAGGCGCUAAAUCUUGUUUCAUCAAAAGUCGCGCGACCCAUUAAUGAUUUCAUACAAAAAUGAUACUGUAAUUGAUGCGAUACUACCCACUUUUGUGCGUGAGAAGCUGUAAAUAUUUAACAAAUUUUCUGUAUAAUCUUUUUUUUUCCUGCACCGGAUUUCUCGUUAAAAAUCGUUUAGUGAGGAGUGCGAAAGGGCGAUAAAAACACGUUUCGAAAGACAAUCUUCUAAAAUCAACAUUUAGUUAUUUGCGAACGUAUAUUCAUCUCUUGCACGUAAUCGAAACAAACAGUAUCCUCGUACUCGGUUUCAUCGCUGCGGUUCCGUCAAAAGAAUCGCAGCGAAACGCGAUGGGCGGUAUGGAAUUAAUGAUCGUAUCAUAAUAAAUUUUUAUUCGAGAAAAGAAUAGCGCGCGCGCGUGUAUUUUUGCAACUCUCACAUUUUUCUCAUUAAUGCGAGAUUUAUUUAUCGGAGAAGAUAUCCAUUAAAAGAUUGGAGAAAUACAUUUUACGCAUAAAAUUAUUCUAAAACAAAGCAAAGUCCUCCCUCGUGAUCGUACAAUUGUCGGCAAUUAUCCACCGCGUGGAUUCCUUUCUCUCUCAGUUAAGAUUUUUAGCAUCAGCGCGUCAAUAAGGCCGCACCUUUACGUAAUUCCAUCUCCGAGUUUGCAGGUGGCUUAAUUUUUGCCGUAACACGUCUGUCGUUGCGCACCGGUCCGCGUCUCGCCGAGAUACGGCACGGAUUUUUCUCGUUGCUGAUUUUAAUAACAGAUUGCUACUGGAAGCACCGAGGGUGGAAAACGCAGGACGAGGAGGCAGAGGGAAACGUUAGCACCGGGGAGACAAGAAGAGGAGGAAAGGGGUGAAGGAAAAAGAGACAGAGAGAGAGAGAGAGAGAGAGAGCGAGAAAAGGAUCGUGCCUGAGUCACUGCUUAUACGUGACUACGGCGACGCCGUUGCCGCCACCCCCUUUCGCCACCUCCGAUAUAACCAUUCCUACCAUCUCCCCGUGCCGCAUUCUCUGCAAUGUUUCGCCGUUACAUUCUCCCCUCGAAUGCGAUACCUAUACUUGCCUACGCGAACGACGGACACGUUCGAAUAAAUUAAAACGAUUCUUUUCGUGACCUGCAACCUCAUCUCAGCCCUUGUCCCGCCCUCGUCUAGCCAGUAUCUUUGGUGGCGGGUGAGAGGGCAAUAAAUAAAAUUAGCACGAACCCCGUGACGAAUCGCACCAAGUUCCCGUUACUACUGUCUACCUGCGUGCGAAUAGUUUAUCGCGUCCCCUCCGUUUAUUGCAAAUCGGAUUCUGGAAUAGAUCAAACCAUUUGUCGCGUUGGCGUGUUGUCGGUCGGCGAAUGCCGAAUAAACGCGAAUCUCAAUCCGUGAAGACUGGCUAUGAUUUAAAAACGCACAAGAUACGUUUGUACAAAUGUUUAACUUGUAUUUAUCAUUUAUAAAUUUUGAUGACUGAAUUCAUGAAAUUAUUAACUUAAAAAAAAAAUAAUAAUUUCAUAUAAAUGAAUAUAAAUGAAUAUAAAUAUGAAGUCAAAAUUGGAUUUUCUAUUAUUCAUGUCUCGAUUUAAUUUCAUUUGUAUCAAAAAUCCUUUCAAGUAUCCUCUCGAUUGAAAUUAUUUGGGAUGUUGCCGUGAAAUUUUAUGAAAAUGAGAGGUUGAGCAUUUUCGGGAACUUUAUUCAAAAAUUCUAGUUUACACACUCGCGUUUCUUAAUGGAAAUUUAUGCAGAACGCGCUACACGUAAUUUCGGCUUUCUCCCCUUCAUCAACAAGUCCGUCUGUCCGAGUCGGAAAUGGCGACUUUAUCAUUCUAAAUUCGCGCUAACUAAUGAAAGUCAAAAAUUAUAUUCUUUAGCGGAACGUUAUGUUGCCGGAAAUGAUGUACUUUGACGAGAUACGCAUAUCGUUUUGCAUUCUCGUAAAUUAGAGCGCAUACAUAAAAUUAUGCUCCGCGUGAUUAUCAUAAAGAACUGAUUAAAAGUCGUGAACAAUGCCGAGAAGGAAAAGCACGAUAUGUAAAUAUUUUUUUCAGCAAACAAAAAAAAAAAAAAAUAUGGCAAAAACUGUACACAAUUCUUGAACUAGAAUUAUCAUGUUAACUGCAACGUAAAAAUGAAAAAAAAAAAAAAAAAAAAACGACGGUAUUUACGAGGGAUGUAUGCGUUAUGAUAUUAUAACUUUACAAGUAUAAUACGCGCGAAUAAAAUAUCUAAAUAUAAACGUAUACAUUUGUCCUUCUCUCCUACCUAUAUACCUUCCCCGAAUAUCAACACUUGCAGAAUAUUAAUAAUUAUACCAACGAUACAAUGUUUGCUUUUCCGUUAACUGUAUUAAUAACUGCAACAAGGGAGUUCAAUUGUGUUUACUGAAAUUACAUUUGCUGGCAAACAAAUGCGUCGUCAUAAAUGCGGCAGUGCGAUCGCAUUGCCACGCAUUCGAGAAUGAAAAUAGAUUUCGCGAGACGUUUGCAGGCGUAUGGCAACGAUAUAUUUGUGCGACACACAACGCGAGUUGUCUCUAUAAUUAUCCUACAAUAUAUAUUCACCGCGUUAUACGUCACGUUGCACGAAGCUGUACGAGGAAUAAAACGGCGGCAUCGAGGGAGGGCUGAAAAACCUAUUCGUAUAUAUAAUGCUUUUUCAGGCCCGUAAACUUGUAAUGUCGUCAGACCAAGAGGAUCGCCGGUAGAUGCUUGUAAUCUGUCCGACCGAUUUAAUUAAUCUCCGUUUGAACGCAUAAAAACGCGCAAAGAGCGUUACGUUGAUCUCUUAGCUCUGCAAAACUCUGCUAUAUUCCCUCCAUCUAAAAAUAUGUCGUCUAGUUAUCAUCGCUAAAAUGCUCCAUUACUUUAUUAUUGAUUGUUGAUUUUUAUAUGUAAAAUAUUAUUAUUUUCUUAUAUAUCAAACAAAAAACAUUCGUAUCGUAUUCAUAACUCUUAAUGAUAUCCUGUACACCGAUAGCAAAAUAGGUCCUACGGCUAUUUAGAAAAACUUUAUAUUGCGAAUGGAACGUAAAAAUUCCUCCGGCCUGACAAAAUAUUCAGAGUCGGCACACACGACCGAUUCCUCGUUACUACUGAAACUCGUGCUGAUGUUAUUGACCCAAUGAAAUACCCUGUGAUACGCAAACAAGUUAUAAUAUAAAAUAGCCACGGGUCAAUGAAAAAGCUAAUAUUAAAAGUGUUUCUCUUGAAUGAGUUGAUACGAGCGAUUGAAACGAGAAAUUGAAUAAAAAUGUGUACUGCUUAAUUGCCAAAUAGAUAUAUAAUUCACAAUAAAUUUAUAAUUUAUACAAUAGGUAUACAUAUAAUUCAUAUUACUAAAUAUACAAUGUUUAUUAUGAGAUUUUGCGGACACUAGCUAUUAAUCUUCAGCACCGAUCGUUGAAACAAAUUUGUCUAAAUGCAUUAUUGUCUAAUUUGCAUAAUAACAGAUUAAUCGUUCUACUAUAUAAUUACAUUAUAUAGGCUUAAUACAUAUAAUUAAACUGAAUGAUUAUUAUAAUGAUAUAGAGGGAUUGCAAAGUGUUCAAAAAUAUUUGCAUUAAUAAAGAUAGUAUUAUAUAAAACCUUAUUUUAUUUCUGAUAUUUGCAUUCUAUAUAGAAUUGCAUUACUCUUUCAGUACAUACCGAAUUCCGGCAUUAUAUUGUGUCUUAUUUCUCGCGAAAAUACACGAUGCAUCUAAAGCGAACAUUUGCAAAGCGCAACAACAAUUUUCUAGCCAAUUUCUUAUAUAAUUUCUCGUCGCGACGACAAUAAUAAGACAUAUUGUAGACAAUUGCAUUAUUACUCAAUCGUAAUUUAUAAAUUGAAAAGAGCCCAGAAUAAUAUUCGUUGACAAAAGCCUUUGUUAAGUUACAUUGCCACAAAUAAAAUUAAAGAACGCCUAAAAGGAUAAUCUAUGGUGUAUCCGCGUUGAGAACAGCGGCAAAUAUCUCUUUCCUUUCUUUGUCAUCAGCUUUCAAGAGACGUCUCAUUCGUAUCGUAAUUACAAGGGAUUUUUCUGACACGCUGUUGAAUUAAUAAAUUAAUUACAUGUAUAUAAAUCGUCAAUCUUUGUUAUUUUCUUAUUUAUAUUUUCGCCGCAUCUUCCGCGUGCGCAGUUUCGGUUUGAAUCUUACGUGAAAACUCGAGAGAGCUGUCUUAAGAAUACGAAGAUUAUGUUUCGCAUAAGCCCCGACAAACUUCCGCCUCCAUCGUUUCUCAUCAUCUCUUUGUAGCCGACUUAAAAGGCGGAUGCAAUUUUACUUUACAGAUAAUUAAUAAUUAAAUAUUGCAAAGCUUUCAAAGGUAGCGCAAUACGGCAUGAGAGACCAUAAUCGUCAUUUCUUCAUUGGAUACUAUAAUACCUUCUGUUUCUCGCUAUAUACUUUAAG